UAGGGAGGGUGCGAGCGUUACCCGGAUUUACUGGGCGUAAAGGGCGUGUAGGCGGUCUCUCAAGUCCGAUGCUAAAGACCGAAGCUCAACUUCGGGGGUGCGUUGGAUACUGUGAGGCUAGACGGUCGGAGAGGGUAGCGGAAUUUCCGGAGUAGCGGUGAAAUGCGCAGAUACCGGAAGGAACGCCAAUAGCGAAAGCAGCUACCUGGACGAUUUGUGACGCUGAGGCGCGAAAGCGUGGGGAGCAAACCGG
rnacentral:rRNA from 1 species